GGUCCCUUCGUCUAGUGGCCUAGGACGCCGCCCUUUCACGGCGGAAACACGGGUUCGAGUCCCGUAGGGAUCA
rnacentral:tRNA from 1 species